AUUUUCUUAGUAUAAUAGUAUAGAUGACUUCCAAUCACCUGGUCUUGGUUAAACCCGAGAGAAAAUA
rnacentral:tRNA from 1 species